rnacentral:rRNA from 1 species
CUCAGGACGAACGCUGGCGGCGUGCCUAAUACAUGCAAGUCGAACGCUUCUUUCCUCCCGAGUGCUUGCACUCAAUUGGAAAGAGGAGUGGCGGACGGGUGAGUAACACGUGGGUAACCUACCCAUCAGAGGGGGAUAACACUUGGAAACAGGUGCUAAUACCGCAUAACAGUUUAUGCCGCAUGGCAUAAGAGUGAAAGGCGCUUUCGGGUGUCGCUGAUGGAUGGACCCGCGGUGCAUUAGCUAGUUGGUGAGGUAACGGCUCACCAAGGCCACGAUGCAUAGCCGACCUGAGAGGGUGAUCGGCCACACUGGGACUGAGACACGGCCCAGACUCCUACGGGAGGCAGCAGUAGGGAAUCUUCGGCAAUGGACGAAAGUCUGACCGAGCAACGCCGCGUGAGUGAAGAAGGUUUUCGGAUCGUAAAACUCUGUUGUUAGAGAAGAACAAGGACGUUAGUAACUGAACGUCCCCUGACGGUAUCUAACCAGAAAGCCACGGCUAACUACGUGCCAGCAGCCGCGGUAAUACGUAGGUGGCAAGCGUUGUCCGGAUUUAUUGGGCGUAAAGCGAGCGCAGGCGGUUUCUUAAGUCUGAUGUGAAAGCCCCCGGCUCAACCGGGGAGG